AACGCACAUUGCGCCCUCUGGUAUUCCGGGGGGCAUGCCUGUUCGAGCGUCAUUAUAACCACUCAAGCUCUCGCUUGGUAUUGGGGCUCGCGGUUCCGCGGCCCCUAAAAUCAGUGGCGGUGCCUGUCGGCUCUACGCGUAGUAAUACUCCUCGCGAUUGAGUCCGGUAGGUCUACUUGCCAGCAACCCCCAAUUUUUACAGGUUGACCUCGGAUCAGGUAGGGAUACCCGCUGAACUUAA
rnacentral:misc_RNA from 1 species